GAAGCGGCAACAGCUCAAAUUUGAAAUCUGGCGCAAGCCCGAGUUGUAAUUUGUAGAGGAUGCUUCUAGGUAGCGACCGGUCUAAGUUCCUUGGAACAGGACGUCAUAGAGGGUGAGAAUCCCGUAUGUGACUGGCCCGCACCUUCUACGUAGCUCCUUCGACGAGUCGAGUUGUUUGGGAAUGCAGCUCUAAAUGGGAGGUAAAUUUCUUCUAAAGCUAAAUACCGGCCAGAGACCGAUAGCGCACAAGUAGAGUGAUCGAAAGAUGAAAAGCACUUUGGAAAGAGAGUUAAAAAGCACGUGAAAUUGUUGAAAGGGAAGCGCUCACAACCAGACUUCUAGGCAGUGUUCCGCCGGUCUUUUGACCGGUCUACUCUCUGUCUCGAGGCCAACAUCAUCUGGGACCGCCGGAUAAGACCUUAGGAAUGUAGCUCCCCUCGGGGAGUGUUAUAGCCUCUGGUGAUGCGGCGCGUCUCGGGUGAGGUCCGCGCUUCGGCAAGGAUGUUGGCGUAAUGGUUGUCAGCGGCCCGUCUUGAAACACGGACCAAGGAGUCUAACAUCUAUGCGAGUGUUCGGGUGUCAAACCCCUACGCGUAAUGAAAGUGAACGGAGGUGGGAAGCGUAAGCUGCACCAUCGACCGAUCCUGAUGUCCUCGGAUGGAUUUGAGUAAGAGCAUAGCUGUUGGGACCCGAAAGAUGGUGAACUAUGCCUGAAUAGGGUGAAGCCAGAGGAAACUCUGGUGGA
rnacentral:rRNA from 1 species